rnacentral:rRNA from 2 species
AGACCCGAAACCCGGUGAUCUAGCCAUGGGCAGGUUGAAGGUUGGGUAACACUAACUGGAGGACCGAACCGACUAAUGUUGAAAAAUUAGCGGAUGACCUGUGGCUGGGGGUGAAAGGCCAAUCAAACCGGGAGAUAGCUGGUUCUCCCCGAAAGCUAUUUAGGUAGCGCCUCGUGAAUUCAUCUCCGGGGGUAGAGCACUGUUUCGGCUAGGGGGCCAUCCCGGCUUACCAACCCGAUGCAAACUGCGAAUACCGGAGAAUGUUAUCACGGGAGACACACGGCGGGUGCUAACGUCCGUCGUGAAGAGGGAAACAACCCAGACCGCCAGCUAAGGUCCCAAAGUCAUGGUUAAGUGGGAAACGAUGUGGGAAGGCCCAGACAGCCAGGAUGUUGGCUUAGAAGCAGCCAUCAUUUAAAGAAAGCGUAAUAGCUCACUGGUCGAGUCGGCCUGCGCGGAAGAUGUAACGGGGCUAAACCAUGCACCGAAGCUGCGGCAGCGACACUCAGGUGUUGUUGGGUAGGGGAGCGUUCUGUAAGCCUGUGAAGGUGGCCUGUGAGGGUUGCUGGAGGUAUCAGAAGUGCGAAUGCUGACAUAAGUAACGAUAAAGCGGGUGAAAAGCCCGCUCGCCGGAAGACCAAGGGUUCCUGUCCAACGUUAAUCGGGGCAGGGUGAGUCGACCCCUAAGGCGAGGCCGAAAGGCGUAGUCGAUGGGAAACGGGUUAAUAUUCC